rnacentral:rRNA from 1 species
AGUGAACGCUGGCGGUAGGCCUAACACAUGCAAGUCGAACGGCAGCACAGUAAGAGCUUGCUCUUACGGGUGGCGAGUGGCAGACGGGUGAGGAAUACAUCGGAAUCUACUUUUUCGUGGGGGAUAACGUAGGGAAACUUACGCUAAUACCGCAUACGACCUACGGGUGAAAGCAGGGGAUCUUCGGACCUUGCGCGAUUGAAUGAGCCGAUGUCGGAUUAGCUAGUUGGCGGGGUAAAGGCCCACCAAGGCGACGAUCCGUAGCUGGUCUGAGAGGAUGAUCAGCGACACUGGAACUGAGACACGGUCCAGACUCCUACGGGAGGCAGCAGUGGGGAAUAUUGGACAAUGGGCGCAAGCCUGAUCCAGCCAUACCGCGUGGGUGAAGAAGGCCUUCGGGUUGUAAAGACCUUUUGUUGGGAAAGAAAAGCAGCAGGUUAAUACCCCGCUGUUCUGACGGUACCCAAAGAAUAAGCACCGGCUAACUUCGUG